rnacentral:misc_RNA from 1 species
GAUGAAGAACGCAGCGAAAUGCGAUAAGUAGUGUGAAUUGCAGAAUUCAGUGAAUCAUCGAAUCUUUGAACGCACAUUGCGCCCAUUAGUAUUCUAGUGGGCAUGCCUGUUCGAGCGUCAUUAAGUCCACUUAAGCCCUGCUUAGUGUUGGGAGACUGCUCCAGCGGUGCUACCCUGUAGCUACCCUGCAGCUCCUCAAAGACAGCGGCGGAGUUGUGGUAUCCUCUGAGCUUAGUAACUUGUUCUAGCUUUCGAGUACACCACUUCCCCUGCCGUAAAACCCUUAAUUUUUAAUGGUUGACCUCGGAUCAGGUAGGAAUACCCGCUGAACUUAAGCAUAUCAAUAAGCGAGG